CAAUGGCACCAUCCCAACUAACUCCACAGUAAAAGACGCCCUUGUUAAUGCGACUAGCACCAACUCAAGCUUGAACAUUAUUCCAAACUCUGUAAAUGUCACCCAGGUUCCUGUGACAAACACCUCUUCAACAGACACUUCAACAAACACUUCAACAAACACGUCUACAAACACUUCUGUACCAGCUGCAGCAUUCAACUUGGUCUUUAGCAUCAAUGAAACCUUUGAUCCAGCACUGGCCAAUACCAGCUCUCCAGAGUUUACAGCAAAAGCUCAAAGUAUCCGUAAUCAGCUUGAACCAAUUUACAGACAGCGCUUCACUAACUUCCUCCGGAUGGUAAUUAAUGGUUUCAGGUGAGAAAUAAUAUACAAAGACAUUGUGCUGAAUAAGUGUUUUUCUUUAUUGUUGAUGAAUUUCAUCCUGUAUUUACCUAUGGUUGUGUUUUAGGAAUGGUUCGAUUGUGACAAAUUCAACUCUUGAAUUUAGUGCCAAUGGCACCAUCCCAACUAACUCCACAGUAAAAGACGUCCUUGUUAAUGCGACUAGCACCAACUCAAGCUUGAACAUUAUUCCAAAUUCUAUAAAUGUCACCCAGG